rnacentral:rRNA from 1 species
GAUGAACGCUAGCGGGAGGCUUAACACAUGCAAGUCGAGGGGUAGGGUAGCAAUACCUGAGACCGGCGGACGGGUGCAUAACGCGUAUGCAACCUGCCUUAUACAGGGGGAUAGCCCAUGGAAACGUGGAUUAACACCCCAUAGGAUUACGGGACCGCAUGAUUUUGUGAUUAAAACUGAGGUGGUAUAAGAUGGGCAUGCGUCUGAUUAGGUAGUUGGUAGGGUAAUGGCCUACCAAGCCGACGAUCAGUAGGGGUUCUGAGAGGAUUACCCCCCACACUGGUACUGGGACACGGACCAGACUCCUACGGGAGGCAGCAGUGAGGAAUAUUGGUCAAUGGCCGGAAGGCUGAACCAGCCAUCCCGCGUGCAGGAUGACGGCCCUAUGGGUUGUAAACUGCUUUUGUACCUGAAGAAUAGGCCCAACGAGUUGGGAUUUGCCGGUAAGGUAUGAAUAAGCAUCGGCUAACUCCGUGCCAGCCGCCGCCGUAAAAC